CCUACGGGGGGCAGCAGUGGGGAAUAUUGGGCAAUGGAGGCAACUCUGACCCAGCAACGCCGCGUGAGCGAUGAAGGUCUUCGGAUUGUAAAGCUCUUUAAGCGGGGACGAAGAAAGUGACUGUACCCGCAGAAUAAGCCUCGGCUAACUACGUGCCAGCAGCCGCGGUAAUACGUAGGAGGCAAGCGUUAUCCGGAAUGACUGGGCGUAAAGGGUGCGUAGGUGGUUUGGCAAGUUGGUAGCGUAAUCCCGGGGCUCAACCUCGGUGCUACUACCAAAACUGUUGAACUUGAGUGCAGGAGGGGUGAAUGGAAUUCCCAGUGUAGCGGUGAAAUGCUUAGAUAUCACGAAGAACUCCGAUUGCGAAGGCAGCUUACUAAACUGCCACUGACAUGGAUGCUCGAAAGUGUGGGUAUCAAACAGGAUUAGAUACCCUAGUAGUC
rnacentral:rRNA from 1 species